AAAAAAGGGUUAACCCUAGCUGGACCAGGCACCCAGACCAAUUCAUUAAGCUGAAGUGGUCUGGGUGCCUAUAGUGGUCCUUUAACUAUUUAUAAUUGUAUUCUACUUUUAUUGAGUGGAUGGCAUUAUACAUUUUCAGUGGAGGUACUAAUAUUGAGACAGGCGUGGUGCAAGAAAUUUAUUUGUCUCCCCCCCAGUACAAGGGUAGCCAAAAGAUAGAUCCUCAAGUGUCCUACUACACUUACAAUGCUUUGACAGCUGGUGACCUACUAUUUGCCCAUUCUUUCAAGGUUGUAUUAUUUGUGAGCAGUGUCUGUGUGUUUGAAUUUUAGCAUGUUUUUGUAUGGAGUAUAUAUACAUGUGAAUGAAAGUGUGUAUUUUUGUGUAAUGUUGACAUUUGGAUGCAAUUGUGUGUUUGUAUGUACUAAUGCCAUAUGGAUGCACUGGUGUAUUUGUAUUGUAUUGUAUUGGUGUUUAAAUGCAGUUGUGUGUAGUGUGUGCCUUUGAAUGCAGAGGUUUGUUUUUAGUAAUGGCAUUUGAAUGCAGGAGUGUGAUGGUGUGCAGUGUUGAUAUUUGAAUGCAGGAGCGUAUUUCUGUGCAGUUUUGGUGUUUGAAUGCAGGGGUAUAAUGUUAGUGUUUGAAUGCAGGGACAGAUUAUUGUGCAGUGUUGGUGUUAGAGUGCAGGGGUGUGUUUGUGUGCAGUGUUGGUGUUUGAAUGCAGGGGUGUGUUUGUGUGCAUUGUUGGUGUUUGAAUGCAGGGUUGUGUUUGUGUGCAUUGUUGGUGUUUGAAUGCAGGGUUGUGUUUGUGUGCAGUGUUGAUGUUU